rnacentral:rRNA from 1 species
UGGGGAAUAUUGCACAAUGGGCGCAAGCCUGAUGCAGCCAUGCCGCGUGUGUGAAGAAGGCCUUCGGGUUGUAAAGCACUUUCAGCGAGGAGGAAGGUGGUGAACUUAAUACGUUCAUCAAUUGACGUUACUCGCAGAAGAAGCACCGGCUAACUCCGUGCCAGCAGCCGCGGUAAUACGGGGGUGCAAGCGUUAAUCGGAAUUACUGGGCGUAAAGCGCACGCAGGCGGUUUGUUAAGUCAGAUGUGAAAUCCCCGGGCUCAACCUGGGAACUGCAUUUGAAACUGGCAAGCUAGAGUCUCGUAGAGGGGGGUAGAAUUCCAGGUGUAGCGGUGAAAUGCGUAGAGAUCUGGAGGAAUACCGGUGGCGAAAGGCGGCCCCCUGGACGAAGACUGACGCUCAGGUGCGAAAAGCGUGGGGAGCAAAACAGGAUUAGAUACCCUGGUAGUCCACGCUGUAAAACGAUGUCGAUUUUGGAGGUUGUGCCCUGAGGCGUGGUUCCGGAGCUAACG